rnacentral:rRNA from 1 species
AACGAACGCUGGCGGCAUGCCUAACACAUGCAAGUCGAACGAUGCCUUCGGGCAUAGUGGCGCACGGGUGCGUAACGCGUGGGAAUCUGCCUUUCGGUUCGGAAUAACUCAGGGAAACUUGAGCUAAUACCGGAUAACGUCGCAAGACCAAAGAUUUAUCACCGAAAGAUGAGCCCGCGUAGGAUUAGCUAGUUGGUGAGGUAAAGGCUCACCAAGGCGACGAUCCUUAGCUGGUCUGAGAGGAUGAUCAGCCACACUGGGACUGAGACACGGCCCAGACUCCUACGGGAGGCAGCAGUGGGGAAUAUUGGACAAAGGGCGAAAGCCUGAUCCAGCAAUGCCGCGUGAGUGAUGAAGGCCUUAGGGUUGUAAAGCUCUUUUACCCGGGAAGAUAAUGACGGUACCGGGAGAAUAAGCCCCGGCUAACUCCGUG